AUUGAACGCUGGCGGCAGGCCUAACACUUGCAAGUCGAACGAGUGGCGGACGGGUGAGUAAUGUCUGGGAAACUGCCUGAUGGAGGGGGAUAACUACUGGAAACGGUAGCUAAUACAGCAUACCAUCGGAUGUGCCCAGAUGGGAUUAGCUAGUAGGUGGGGUAAAGGCGCACCUAGGCGACGCUCCGUAGAUGGUCUGAGAGGAUGAACGGCCACACUGGAACUGUGACACGGUCCAGACUCCGCCGUGAGGCAGCAGUGGGGAAGAUUGCACAAGGGGCGCAAGCCUGAUGCAGCCAUGCCGCGUGUAUGAAGAAGGCCUUCGGGUGGUAAAGUACUUUCAUCGGGGAGGCGUUACCCGCAGAAGAAGCACCGGCUAACUCCGUGCCAGCGGCCGCGGUAAUUC
rnacentral:rRNA from 1 species